CGGGCUGAAGUGAAGUUGGGGGGCGGGGCGGGACGCGGAGCGCUGCCCAUCUGUCCUCCAAGGUUUUCCUUUCUCCACCUUGCACUCGUUUAUUCAAUGACACCUGCCGCCAGGGGAAUGCUCUCCCUGCCAAAGUUAAUGACUCCAUGAUAUUUAGAAACGGUAUGAGUCCAAGAGGGGAGAGUGUGUCCCGUGUUCCUCAGCAAAAAUGGCUCCAGCUCCUGGUGUCCUUUGGUAAAGUGGGGCUGCUGGAUCCCUGCUUGGGCUGGGGAUAAUGGCACUUCUCCCACCUCCCCUCAACUCUUUCCAGACGCAUCAACUCUAGAACUCAAUUCGCAGGGCACAAGUUACAAGUACAUAUGAGUUCGGGGGCAGAGAAGAACUUGAAGCCAUCCACCCUGCCUCCCCUCCGACAAGCCAAAGGCCACAGCAAAAGGAAAACGAAGAGUGUCACUAAAAUCCAACCAGGUGGGCA
rnacentral:lncRNA from 1 species